CCCCCUUUCUGUAGUGCUUCAACAAUUCCCUUUCUUAUUGCACCUGAUACACUCCAGACUUCCAUGCUGGAUUUGCUCUGGUUGCUGGUUAGUGCCUCAGGUGGUGAGACCUUGCGAACCAAGCUGUUCCUGAGUCUUCUUCUAAAUGGUACAGGCUUUUUUGGCAGAAACAAAGGCUUCUACAAGUCUCUAAAACAGACUUGAAUAUAUACCUAGAAACCUGGAAAAAUAAGCCUACUUUGCCUGAACAAAUACUUCUGCGGCUGUAGGUG
rnacentral:lncRNA from 1 species